CUUAGUCACUAAUUUUAACCCAACAAUGUUUAUAAAAGAGCAUGACCCACCCCUAAGAAUUAUACCAUUUUUUUACCUGAGUAUGGGAGACAGAACAGGUUCACCCAAAGCAAUAGAGAAAGUACCGCAAGGGAAAGCUGAAAGAGAAAUGAAACAACCCAUAUAAGCACUAAAAAACAAGAUAAAACCUU
rnacentral:rRNA from 1 species